rnacentral:rRNA from 1 species
UACGGAGGGGGCUAGCGUUGUUCGGAAUUACUGGGCGUAAAGCGCACGUAGGCGGCAUUGCAAGUCGGAUGUGAAAUCCCUCGGCUCAACCAAGGAAGUGCAUCCGAAACUGCUGUGCUUGAGUACUUAAGAGGAUCGCGGAAUUCCCGGUGUAGAGGUGAAAUUCGUAGAUAUCGGGAGGAACACCAGUGGCGAAGGCGGCGAUCUGGGAAGAUACUGACGCUGAGGUGCGAAAGCGUGGGGAGCAAACAGG